CUCCUUUGAAGAAAACUUGAGAGAGUUGGGCUUAUUCACCUUGGAGAAGAGAAGGCUCUCGGCAGACCUCAUUGCACCCUUCUCAGUACUUGAAGGAGCUAUUUCCACCAUCUUUGGAAGUUGUGAAUCCCGUGUCUGCUCCAAGAGAAAUUCUGCUGCAACUUUGUUCUGCUGCUAACUGCAGACACACAUGGAGGAAAUAAAACCAUGUGCACAUCAACAGUGAUGGAAAAGAAUGGUAGCACAGUAUGGCUUGCAUGGAAACCAAAACAAGUUGUACACUUUGGCUAUUCAGAAGACUUCUACGUCCCAUGAAGUAAGGGUAAAGAAGCACCUUUAUUAACAGUGUUCUUUUCAGUAAGGAUAAAUUAAAAAUGGAAAGUAACAAAUAGUAUUUUCCUUGGUCCAAAUUUAUUUCUCAGAUCAGUUUUACUCCCACUAUGUGGCAGGGCAGUGAUGCUGCUGAUUGUCAUGAGUACCACUGAAUUCAACCACAGUGAAUGCCUUUGUAGUAGUUUGCACCUUUGAUUAUACAACUGUACCAAAAAUAUAUAUAUAUAUUUGGAAGAACUGUGUUGCUUUUAUCAAUUUAUUAACUUUCAUGAAACCUAUUGAUAGUUUUGGACAGAAAGUCCUAGAGAAAGGUGAAGGGACAUGGGUUUGUGAUUAGAAAAGGAAAACUCAGCAUCUCCCAGAAUACGAGAACAAGACAUCCCUUAGGAACAGGGAGGAUUGUUGGUUUGUUUGGCAACUUUGGGGGAGUGUUGAAUGCAGGCAUCCCCAACAGAUGUACACCGUGCCAUCUGGAAAAAGAUGAGGGUUGCUGCUCACAGGAAAUAGCAACACACGCGGCACAUAUUGAAUAUUUAAGUGUCUCAGUAGCAUGUGCCCAAGUAAGGCUUGCCUCUAGGUGCCAAGGCCUCCCUGAACACUGCAAGAGUUCAGUGCAUGGCAUCUCACUUAGUGAGACAGAUGUUAAGACUCCAAUCUGAAAGCACCUCUCUUCACUCACACAGCCCGGCACGAGGGCUGCCGCCCCUGCGAACGAGCGGUUCUCAGCUCCACGCGGCCGAGCCCCGAGCAGGGAGGAGGCAGCAGCCGGCUGGAGUGAGAGUCGGGGAGAAAAAGAGAGGAGGGUGCUCAGGCACGCGAUAUUGCCUCAUCGACUUUCGCCCGCCCCCAACUCCACGGACCAAAAAAAUCGCGUUUCCUCCUUCGGCAACGGCAGUCCUCUUGGGUUUCCUUAAUAACUCAAGCCAGAGGGGCAUUCCUCGAAAAAUAUAUAUUUUUUUUUCCCCCGAAACCGAGAUACGGCUGCGUCCGCAACCGCCGCCCCGGCGGGGGUCCCGGGGCUCUUCCCACGAACCGCUUCCGCGGGGCCGGGAGCACACCCGGCUGCCCGCCCCACCACCUGGCCCCUUCCCUCUGUCCUCCAGCCGUCAGCAUCCGAAGACGAUUCGCGGGACGUGUCCCCGGGCCCCCGCACGGCGCUGUGAGCCGCGGGGUCGUUCGGCUGCCUGCGCACGAAAGCCCCAUAUUCCCCCUGCCUGCCGGUAGCCGCUUUCCCGUAAUUUCCAUUAUCCGAAGCACAUCGCGUGUUCUCGCUGCAGCCACUCCGGGGUGAGCCACGCGCCGCUGCCCGCGGGCUGUAACACAGCAUCAGCUGCCGUGGAGUUCCCUGCUUUGAUUUGUUUGGCGUUUGGAUGCUGCGGUUGUUCACUGUUUAUUAUCCCGGGUUUGUUUUCGAGUCAGUGACACUUCGAGUCUGAAUGCUUGUUAUUUACAGUUCUGGAGAGAGGCUCAUGAGACGUCCAAAUAAGCCCCGGUUAUGGAAUUGGAAACCAUCAUUUCCGUAGGCGUACAGGUACAUAUAUGAAGCCAGCGACGAUUCGAAGCCCAGCAGGAGAAAAACAACGUGCAAAGGCACGAUGGAUAACGCAAAGGGUAACCAGCCGGCUCCGCUAGCGCUCCCGAGCACCCGCGCCGCUCCCUGCAGACCGCCCUCCGUGCUCCUCGGGUCACGUUGCGGGCGCGAGAAUUAACCUCUGGCUUUUUCUUACACAGUCUAUUGUGGCUUCAUCAUCUUUCUUCAGAUCGCCGACCUACCGCGGGAGGCCGCCUACAAUUUUAGCCUCUGUCACCACGAGGAUAUACGAGACGAUCUCCUAAACGCUUUCGAUGAGCGCAUGACCUUCAGCGAGGUUGGUGGUUGCUCUGGUGGCAUCGGAGGGAAACUGUCGGCACGGCACUGCCUCCGCGAUCAUGUCCUUAUUGCUGGCAGCCACUUUCCGAAAAUGCUGAUUAGGAAGCCGGGAGCUGGCUAGUGCAGUAACCCGGAGCACAGGACGGGGAAGUUAUCUCCUCCUCUCCUCCUCCGGCGACCCUCCUAAAGUGUGCGCUGAAGCUGGGACUGGCAGGGACGGAGUGCCGGAGCUCUGCUACCAGAGCGCUCCCGACCCCCGGCAGAGCCCUAAGAUGACCCCGUCAAACCGCACCGACGCCGAAGGCGGUUUCACGGUUACAAAGGCGAUAAGUGGUCCAAAAGCUCCGCGGGCGGUUCGCUCGCACAGACAGCGCCCAGCCCGAGGCCCGGACUCCGGGCGCAAGAAGCAGCCCACCGCCGCCUCCCGCCAGGCGGAGUAUCGCCCGCUGCCCUGGCAGCCCCUCUAGGGCGCGGAGAUGACCCCCCCUCCGUCUUGUUGUCUCCCUCCAGGGGCCGUUGCUCGAUUUUCACACCUGCGAGGACGCGUCCGCGGGCCCGCAGCUGUCCGAGGACGCCCGCCGGGCGCAGCAGGAGGGCCGC
ensembl:lncRNA